UCCUCAGUAGCUCAGUGGUAGAGUGGUCGGCUAUUAACUGACUGGUUGAGGUUUGAAUCCUACUUGGAGAG
rnacentral:tRNA from 1 species